rnacentral:piRNA from 1 species
UAGAAAUUUAAGUGCCCUUCUAAAAAUC